GACGAACGCUGGCGGCGUGCCUAAUACAUGCAGGUAGAACGCUGAAGGAGGAGCUUGCUUCUCCGGAUGAGUUGCGAACGGGUGAGUAACGCGUAGGUAACCUGCCUGGUAGCGGGGGAUAACUAUUGGAAACGAUAGCUAAUACCGCAUAACAGUAGAUGUUGCAUGACAUUUGCUUAAAAGGUGCAAUUGCAUCACUACCAGAUGGACCUGCGUUGUAUUAGCUAGUUGGUGAGGUAACGGCUCACCAAGGCGACGAUACAUAGCCGACCUGAGAGGGUGAUCGGCCACACUGGGACUGAGACACGGCCCAGACUCCUACGGGAGGCAGCAGUAGGGAAUCUUCGGCAAUGGACGGAAGUCUGACCGAGCAACGCCGCGUGAGUGAAGAAGGUCUUCGGAUCGUAAAGCUCUGUUGUUAGAGAAGAACAGCGCAUAGAGUAACUGCUAUGCGUGUGACGGUAUCUAACCAGAAAGCCACGGCUAACUACGUG
rnacentral:rRNA from 1 species